CGCGGGGUGGAGCCGCCCGGUAGCUCGUCAGGCUCAUAACCUGAAGGCCGCAGGUUCAAAUCCUGCCCCCGCAACCA
rnacentral:tRNA from 2 species